UUUUGACACUUAUAUUGGUUGAAAGAUGUUGUAAUAGAAAUAAGGUACUAUUCCCUUUCAGGCAACAGCUGACUCAUGUUAUUUUGAAGCAUGAAUGCAGGAUGCUGUUAAAUUGAAUAAGAAGAAGCUGCUCCUGGUGGAACACUGGACAAACCACAGGCAAAGUCAGCUGACCUGGUAUGAGGAGUGAUGCUGUUGGUGUGACCUUCUGUAGUGCAAAGCUGUAUGGUGCUUGUUUGUGUGAAAUGAAGGUGAUAAACUACUCAUUAUUUGAGCUGCUUUCUCCAAGAAAAGUGGUGAUUUGGGAAGAUGGAGAAAUUUGAAAACAUCAUGUGCUACCUGAGGCACACUCAGUUUCUGUGGAUGGAGAGACCAUGCUCAGAAUGCAUCUGUGAUCCAUGAUAUCCACCACAUUCCUAAUCUUCACAGCCCUACAAGACAGAAGUAUAAAUUCAACGUGCUCUUUGGUAUCAACUGCUCAUUAUUAAUGUUUAAAGCUUUAAAAUCUCAGAAAUGCCCAUCUUUCUCCGUAUGUCAACUGCCUUCCUGACUUAGCUUUAUUCUCCACUGAAAAUCCUCCUUGCUCUGGGGGUGAGAAGCCCCUCUGAGUCAGCCAGGGAGAACUGCCCACUUCUCUGCACACGCUAUGAUUCAGAUCUGUGUGGGACUGUCUCUAAAUGCUGUGUGGAAGGCUCUUGCCUUUAUCCUGAUGAUAUAAUACAGGGUUUUAACUUACCUACCUUGGAUGUGCUGUAUUUGUUUCCAAAUGAAUAACAAACAGAUUACAGACUCUUUAAAUACUCUGUGUAGUUGCUUAAUAAGCAUGUAUGGUUGUCAGUAAAAAAGACCUUUCCUUAGUAAGUAAUUAGUCAGUAAAUUACAGUUGCCUAAAGCCUAUUUGCCCCAGUGGACCCCAAUUACAACCACACAGUAUGUCAAAAAACAUUUAGUUACCUUCCCAAUGGCUCUGUAAUUCUUCCUAUAAUGACUACACCUCCCUAUUAGUUCUGUGCAGUAAUUGCCCCUCUGAUGAGUUUUUGUUUUGGUUGUGGUACUGUUUUUGAUUAAAGAAAACAAAUAGCUCAAGGAGGGGUCUUUCUGCCUGUCCAUCAGCCCCACUUGCUCACCAGAAAAUUUGCUGUUGCUUAGGUAUAACUUAGCUUCUUGUUUUCUGGACUAGGCAUGGUGAUGACACUUUGCUGGGAGCAGAUCUGGCAGCAAUUAAAAUUAAAAAUUGUCAUAUGUCAUUCAAAUGCCUAAGCUCACAUCUAUAGUCAGUGGAGAAGUGCUCAUAAAUCUGUGGAGCACUGAAAGCAAUCAGCU
rnacentral:lncRNA from 1 species